UACGGAGGAUCCAAGCGUUAUCCGGAAUCAUUGGGUUUAAAGGGUCCGUAGGCGGUUUUGUAAGUCAGUGGUGAAAGCCCAUCGCUCAACGGUGGAACGGCCAUUGAUACUGCAAGACUUGAAUUAUUGGGAAGUAACUAGAAUAUGUAGUGUAGCGAUGAAAUGCUUUGAGAUUACAUGGAAUACCAAUUGCGAAGGCAGGUUACUACCAAUAUAUUGACGCUGAUGGACGAAAGCGUGGGGAGCAAACAGG
rnacentral:rRNA from 1 species